rnacentral:lncRNA from 1 species
GAGAUUAGAAAUAAACCCUUGGCUCUUUGAUUUCUGAGUGACUCACACAGAAAACCUGACGUUUUGCCAUUGAUGUUUUUAGACGUUCUAUUGUGGCGGCUGGAAAUGAGAAAAACACACCAGACAGCAACACGGGCCACAAAAGGAGGGUAGAACCAAAAAUGCAUCUUUUCAGGAAGUGAUGGACAAACUCCAGAGGUUAAAUCAGGAGAUAAGCCGAGCUGUCUAACUAGGACGAUAACUCCGCAGCGCACGUCAUCUGAGGGAAGCAAUCAAAAGCCCUCCGGCUCAACUCGACGCCGCCGCCAUCCCUCGCUCACCUUCAGCUGCUGUUUUGUUCUUCAUUCAUGUCGGGCCUUCCUCCGCCGGCCCGUUUGACUGACAGUUUUCUCUGAGGGAAACGACAACAACAACAACUUCUGAGCGAGGAACCCUCCCCUCAGCACUGACCCGGUCCAUAAUG